rnacentral:misc_RNA from 1 species
GAUGAAGAACGCAGCGAAAUGCGAUAAGUAAUGUGAAUUGCAGAAUUCAGUGAAUCAUCGAAUCUUUGAACGCACAUUGCGCCCCUUGGUAUUCCGAGGGGCAUGCCUGUUCGAGCGUCAUAUUAACCACUCCCGCUUGCGGGGUCUUGGGCUUCGCCUCCGGGCGGGCCUUAAAAUCAGUGGCGGUGCCGUCGGGCUCUACGCGUAGUAAAUUUUCUCGCGAUAGGGUCCCGGUGGAUGCUUGCCAACAACCCCCAACUUCUUAAGGUUGACCUCGGAUCAGGUAGGGAUACCCGAUGAACUUAAGCAUAUCAAUAAGCGGAGGA